rnacentral:rRNA from 1 species
CCUACGGGAGGCAGCAGUAGGGAAUUUUGCGCAAUGGGGGAAACCCUGAUGCAGCGACGCCGCGUGAGUGAAGAAGUAUUUCGGUAUGUAAAGCUCUAUCAGCAGGGAAGAAAAUGACGGUACCUGAUUAAGAAGCCCCAGCUAACUACGUGCCAGCAGCCGCGGUAAUACGUAGGGGGCAAGCGUUAUCCGGAUUUACUGGGCGUAAAGGGAGCGUAGACGGCAGCGCAAGUCUGAAGUGAAAUGCCGGGGCUUAACCCCGGAACUGCUUUGGAAACUGUGCAGCUAGAGUGCAGGAGAGGUAGGUGGAAUUCCGGGGGUGGCGGUGAAAUGCGUAGAUAUAAGGAGGAACCCGAGGGGCGAAGGCGGCUUACUGGACUGUAACUGACGUUGGGGCUCGAAAGCGGGGGGAGAAAACAGGAUUAGAUACCCUGGUAGUC